ACCCGCUGAACUUAAGCAUUUCAAUUAGCGGAGGAAAAGAAACUAACAAGGAUUCCCCUAGUAACAGCGAGUGAAGCGGGAAGAGCUCAAAAUUUAAAUCUGGCAGUGUAUUCUGUCCGAGCUGUAGUCUAGAGAAGCAUCAUCCGCGCUGGACCACGUACAAGUCUCUUGGAACAUAGAGUCAUAGAGGGGGAGAAUCCCGUCCUUGACCUGCACUCCUUUAGCUUUGUGUUGUGCUCUCAACGAGUCGAGUUGUUUGGAAAUGCAGCUCAAAAUGGGUGGAAAAUUCCAUCUAAAGCUAAAUAUUGGCGAGAGACCUAUAGCGAACAAGUAACGUGAGGGAAAGAUGAAAAGCACUUUGGAGAGAGAGUAAAACAGUACGUGAAAUUGUUGAAAUGGAAGCGCUUGAAGUCAGUCGAGUUCUCUGGGAUUCAGCCUUGCUUUUGCUUGGUGCAUUUCCUAGUCUACGGGCCAGCACGAAUUUUGACCAAUGGAAAAAGGCUGGGGGAAUGUGGACCCUUCGGGUGUGUUAUAGCCCCUUGUCACAUACGUUGGUUGGGAUUGAGGUCUUAGUGCACGCUUCGGUUGUGCUUUG
rnacentral:rRNA from 1 species